rnacentral:rRNA from 1 species
GAUGAACGCUGGCGGCGUGCCUAAUACAUGCAAGUCGAGCGAACGGACGAGAAGCUUGCUUCUCUGAUGUUAGCGGCGGACGGGUGAGUAACACGUGGAUAACCUACCUAUAAGACUGGGAUAAUUUCGGGAAACCGGAGCUAAUACCGGAUAAUAUUUUGAACCGCAUGGUUCAAAAGUGAAAGACGGUCUUGCUGUCACUUAUAGAUGGAUCCGCGCUGCAUUAGCUAGUUGGUAAGGUAACGGCUUACCAAGGCAACGAUGCAUAGCCGACCUGAGAGGGUGAUCGGCCACACUGGAACUGAGACACGGUCCAGACUCCUACGGGAGGCAGCAGUAGGGAAUCUUCCGCAAAGGGCGAAAGCCUGACGGAGCAACGCCGCGUGAGUGAUGAAGGUCUUCGGAUCGUAAAACUCUGUUAUUAGGGAAGAACAUAUGUGUAAGUAACUGUGCACAUCUUGACGGUACCUAACCAGAAAGCCACGGCUAACUACGUG